AAGACAUCAAAACUGAGGCAGGGGCUAGGGCUAAGGCAGCGGCUGGGAAGUCCUGCUUCGUGCAAGAUGCCUUGUGCCUCAGAUGGUCGCGCAUCAGCAGCCACCUCAUCCUUGAGUGGAGGGCCAUCAGACCACAGUGACGUCACAGUUACAUAAGAAUACUGCAGGAAAAACUCCAUGAGAGUCUGCAUCCUGUCUUCACCUCUGUGAGUAGGGGCAGGGAGGAGCAGCAGCAAGACAUUAUUUUUUAAGAAAAAGUCUUGAACAGGCUCACCUGAGAGGCUUUUUUUUUUCUUUUUUUGUCUGCUCUGAGCAUUUCAGGAAUCACAGGCCUGUGCCAAGAAGCAGGCAGCGAGGCGGAACUCGGCACUGGAAUGUCAUCUUGUUCUGCCACCUUGGGAGAGAAGCUCAGAACUCUGCCGUAUGGUGCCUGUCUGUCGCCCAAGCUCUUGAGCUGUGGGGGAGGCAGCCACGCUUUUCUGGGACUAUCAGCACGGUCAAAGUGUGCACCUCACGUUUACUGGCCCAGCUGCCUUUCAAGCAAUGGAGCAGCCAUACCUACUCCCCACAAACCACAGGGACUACACACUUGCACCAAGGGGCCUCCUUCUUCCUCUCAGAAAGUACCUUCCCAGGCUUCUCCCCAGCAGGCUCAUCUCACUUCAACAAAACCUUCAAGAAACCUAGUGGGAGGCAGCUUGCUGGGAGGUAGGGACCAAGAAGUAAGGGGCAUCCAGCCCCUGCCUGCCAUCAGCUCAAGCCAUCCAGGGAGGAAGGCAAGCACACCACCUCCAGUGAUAGCAGAGAGCUCAUGGCUAUUUCUGUCCAGUCAGUUAAAAGGAAAUCAAGGAACUUCAGGGAAAGAAAGGCCAUGAGGAACAAGAGACCAUGUGUCAGGAUGUGUGUGCCCACGAAGAGCCUAGGUGUGGAAAUAGUCUUGCCAAGUUACAUUUCACUCCAGUGACUCUCUACUGCCCACUGAGCUGACACACAGGACUCAGUGCUCACAGUGUGCCGGGCACUGGGCUAGGCACUCAAGACCUCGCCGUGACUUGCACUCACUUUACAGGAUAGAAAAACUGAAGUUCUGAGGCUAAGAUAACUUGCCAGGGUCACCAAGCUAGUGAUUCAGAAACAAGGAUUCAGAUCUUAGUCCAGGGCUGGGGAACCUAUGGCACACACCCAGCUGUUAUUACCGAAAGCUCCAAACACACUUGCCAUCACUGUCCUCUUCCAUCCUGUCUCACACAGCCCUAUCACACAGUCUGAAUGUUUAUUUCAACUAAACACAUUUUCCAACGGUUUGGGCUGAAGUUAAUGCAAACUGAAGAGCUCUGAACAGCAAGUUCCUCAUUUCACAGGUAACGAAUACUGUACAUCCAGAGAGCAGUGGAAGUGAACUUUUCCAGUAUGCCACCAUGGGUCCAAUUCAGAAUCUAAACCCCCUGGCCUUUUUCCUAACUAUAUUUUUCUUUCCUGGGAUUUACUCUGACUUCACUGUGUAUGUUACAAGGGAAACUAAAACUAUUGAAUGAAAAAGAAAGACUAAGUCUAAACCCCACCCUGCAGGAAGUUUCUCCUCCCAGUCUGCGCACCAGUGUCAAUCUCUAGACCAUCUAAGGAAGAAGAGAAUGUACAACAGGACCAUGGGACCCCCUAAGGCUAUUAUUCAUCUGUAAACAACUAGCUGCAGAGAGGGGUGACUCCUCAGAGAGAUGGCACUUGUACCACAGCUGCAGGAACUGCAGUUCCCCAGAGCACUAGGCAACAGCACAGAAAGGGUUUGCAGCAAUCAGCGUUGAGGACUGCGGCAUUUACAGAUCCUCAGAUCUCCACAGGGGCCAGAACAGGCCCCUAGCACAGACCUAACAUUUUCCCUUUUGCUGCUCCCCUGAAUCUGUCCAGUUGAUUUUUCCACCUCCUCCCCAGCCAGGCACAGAACAUUUUCCCCUUUCCCUUCCCUGAACCACUGUGUGACCUUGUACCCCUCCCUGCAUUCAAAGCACAAUCAAGGCACCCCUCCCGGGCCCUGGCCCAGUGACCCUCAUUCUUCUCUCCCUUCGGAAGCUUCCUUUUCCUGUCCCUCCCAGUCUAAUAAUCUGCUCCUAUUCCACUGGGUCCCCUGGUGGCGCCCCACCUAGCAGGGCAAGGCCUGCACUGGCUCUGAUAUCCUCGCUGUCCUUUCCAUCAGUCUGGGCCUGAUAUAGGAGGUGCCUGUAGCACCAAAACCCUGGAAUUAGGAGCAAGGGACUAGUUGUCAUAGCCUUGUGCCACCCACAACCCCCUUGCCUCCACAAAGGGGGAAAAAAAGCAGGCUCUCAACAUUUACAUUUAUGCUAGAGCUUUGAGUGUGGCGCUCCUAAGUCUAGCCUUCAAAGCAGUUCAACACUUAACUCUGACAGGAAAUGUGAACAUGUUAAAAAAAAAAAAAAAAAACCAACCAUGAUUUGGCUGAGGAGUUGUUCUUUGCAAUGCUUCCAAGGAUGUACUUGAGUCUAAGCUGUAAGACCGACAAAAUAGCACUGAAUUUGAUGAUUCUGAUGGCCACAACACCCUGGUCAUCUGGUACCCACACUGGUCUUUUGAAUCCUCAGGUGUUGUUAAAAAUAAGAAAGAAAAGAAAAGAGAGACAGACAGACUUGUAUGAUUUCCUUUUCCCCACCUCCCCUCACAAAACAAGCCAAUCAUCGAUGACAGUAGAUUUAGAAGAUUUAUACCUAAGACUUCAGUCAUCAAAGAGUGAAAGCCAAGUCAUAAACUGUUGAUAUACAAGGACUCUGAAGGAACUAUAGCAAGUCAGCCUAAAUCAGCCUAGUCACUCUAGGCAUUGUUUUUAAAACUAUAAAAUCAAAGAGUAAAUGCCAGACUUCUGAUAUACUCCUUUUCUUCUAAAUACACAAACAUUAUGUACAUUCAUCAGAACCAAGUACUGCCUCGUUUUUGUGGCUCUAGCGCACACAGACUCUGUCAGGGAAACAACUUUAUGGAUUCGGUCACAAGAAAUGAACACAUUCAUAGGCCCCCAGUACAUUCAGUAUCUGACACACACUUCACAGAGGGCAGGCCAGUGAGACUUUGUGCAAGAGAGGAAAGGUCUGCAACCUAAAAUAAAAACACACAUUAAAAAUGUGCAUGCUGAACAAACAGAAUAUAAAAUGGGUUAACAGGGGCUCUGUUUUCCUCGCUGGCAAGAUAAGUUCUCUCUGGUUUGCCAUGGGGAUGGGAAACUGCUUACUUCUCCAUCACUCAACAGCUGAGCUUCCCUGUGAGUUCUCUCUUUGCUGACAAGUUGGCUGGACGGGUAUGAAUGCUUCAGCCAGCAGGUAAGCAAAGGUGUGCCUGUGCUCACCUGCACGCUUAGAUAUCACCAGCCAUAUAGCCACGCGUCACAAAAACCUAAGCCCAUGAAACUGCUUCCUGGAUGGCUGAAACUUCAGUUGUUUACCUUCAUAUGCCUCAAGUUAGUUUCGGAAAAUCACUUAAAAAUCAAGUAUUAGGGCUGGAGAUGUGGCUCAGUGGUAGAGUUCUUGCCUUGCACGUACAAGGCCCUGGGUUCAAUGGCCCAGCACAACCAAAAAAAAAAAGCCCUAAGCACUAUGAAGAAUAUUUCUACUACUCAGCACUUUCUAAAAAACAACAACGAAAAUCACUAUGCAAGAUCCCCUAGGUAAAGCAUCAAGAGAAGAUUCAAGAAGAGCAAUCAGUUCUGAUUCAAGUUUACAGUCAACCUUCAAGAACCAGGGCAGAGACAGACAACUGCAGAAACACUUAAGGAGAAGAAAGUGUCAACUGUCAAAUGAAAACUGGAAAAUACUGAUGCUAGGAACUAGACAGAGGGCAUCUGUCUACCCCUAGCAGGCUGAGGGCCUCGGAAAAGCCCUUCCCACUCCUGCUCCGAGGAGACUAUCUGCACACAUCCUUCACACUGCACUUGACCACAUCUACUCAGCUGAACUCCCAAAGUCUCCAAAACAAGAAUCUAGAAAUCAGCUUCUGGCCCCAGGGCUCAUGUGAAGUCCUGCAUAUAAGGUUUUUGUGCAUAAGCAAGAUAUAAUGCUAUUUACGCAAGCUAAAGAAAUAUACACCAAAGCAGUACACUGUUUCCACGUGGUAUCCAAGUAGAACAGCUUCCAAGACUCCCUUCAGAUAUCAACCCCCAUGAAAGGUCAAGUUCCUUACAUAAAAUGGUUUACACAAAACCUAUGGACAUUCUCCAUAUAAUUUAUCUCUAGAUUACACAUAACACCUAAUAUAAUAUACAUGUUAUAUAGAAAGUUAUUCUACUAUACUAUUUAGGAAUUACAACAAGGAAAAAAGCUGUAUAUCACACAAUCACCUUGUACUAUAAGUUCAAUGCAAGGUUAGGUGAAUUUGUGGGUAUGAAAUCCCCAGAUACAGAGGGCUGACUGUAGAUCCUGUGGUCACUUGUAUGAAAAAAACAGUAAAACCGGGAGGAAGUGUAUACACUUUAAGAAUACUGCAUGCACAUAUGCAUGUGUGUAUAUAAAGAGAUGGACUGGGGGUUAUACUUACAUGGUGUAGUUAAAGACUUCGUUUUCAGCUUUUUUUUUAAAUCUAUCGGUAGCAGGAAUUGAACUCACGACUACCUGCUUGCAAGGCAGGCACUUAUGCUGCUGAGCUAAAUCCCCAGCCCCAGUUAAAGACUUCUUUUCUCACAAAUGUUGUGUUUCUUAAAAGUAUAGGCUUGGGAUGAAUUUGACCAAAUGUCAACAGUUAUGGAUUCUAGGUGGCAGGAGACUGUACACUUGUUUUGCACUCCCACAUGCCCACACACACACAAGUAGAGAGAUUCAGAGACUUCCAUAUUCGCCGUGGGUCCAAAACACUAAAACAGUUUAAAAGCCUCUAUCAUCUCCAUAUUGUUCAACUCCAUAGCACUUCUAUAGUUCAAAUGUUGAUAAUAAAUAAUCUUUUAUUUUUAA